UACGUAGGGUGCAAGCGUUGUCCGGAAUUAUUGGGCGUAAAGAGCUCGUAGGCGGUCUGUCGCGUCGGCUGUGAAAACCUGAGGCUCAACCUCGGGCCUGCAGUCGAUACGGGCAGACUAGAGUUCGGUAGGGGAGACUGGAAUUCCUGGUGUAGCGGUGGAAUGCGCAGAUAUCAGGAGGAACACCGGUGGCGAAGGCGGGUCUCUGGGCCGAAACUGACGCUGAGGAGCGAAAGCGUGGGUAGCAAACAG
rnacentral:rRNA from 1 species